rnacentral:lncRNA from 1 species
CAAAAGGAACAUGCCUCACAGGGUAGCAGGUCGAGGCCAGAGCAGCCAUCUUGGUCCAAGGUCAGCGCCUUCCAAGGUCAGCUCCUGAAUACUAGUAAGGGAACUCAGCUGCCUCAUUCCUCACUGCCCAGCCUGUGUUCAUUCCCAGAGACAUCUGAGUCACAGGAGGAUUGUCCAGGAAUCUUGUGGUGUCUUAAAUACCUCUUGAAUCUUACCAUUUCUCUCCAUUCUCACUGCAUCCUCUUUUCCCUUCCCCUGCAUCCUGUUCCAGCUAUCAUCAUUCCUAUCUGGACUAUCACAAUAGCUUAGUAACUGUUCACUUCACACCUACUCUUGCUCUCUUCCAUCCAUCCUUUGCCCAGCAGAGACCAAAGUCUUCCCAUUGAACUUAGACUAAGAUUCAAUCUCCUGGCCCCAGGCUACAGGGUUGUGCAGGAUCUAGCUUCCUCUCCAACUUCAACACCAACUGCUCUCUUCUGUGUCCACUCCACUCUUGCCCCACCAGGCUUCUUUGCUCAUUCACGCCUCAAAACCCAAAUACCAUUGCAUCAUGCUCUCCUUUCAGGCCCCUCAAUCCUUGCAAAUCUUCUCUGGCAUCCCAUUGUUCUGAGGGUAAGAAUCCCAACAAGGCUUCUGAGUCUGCCGCAGCCUGGUUUCUACCCAGCACUCUAGCAUCAUCUCCCACAAUCUCCCACAUCUGUGGUCUAGCUGCUGCGUCCUUUCUGCUUCUCAUGCAUGCAGGGCCCUCCUCAUCAUAGGGCCUUUGCUCAUGCUGUUGUCUUCACGCUAGAAGCUCUUCCCUCCUUUCAUGCCAGUUAAUCCCUCAUCGUACAUCACAUCUGAGUUUCAGCAUCAUUUUCUCAUGAAGACUUCUCUUACCUCCCCGACUAGUUCCAAUCCUCCUAUUACACAUUCUUAUUGCAUUAUAUACUCUCAAUGACUGCUUCCCAGUUACAAUUUUACAUUUAUUUACAUGCUUAUUAUAUUAACAGCCGCCUUCCAUGUCAGACUCUGAGUGCCACAAGGAAUGGGACCAUGUCUGUUUUAUUACUGUUUCAAGCCCAGUGUCCAGUUUAUGGCCUGACUCAUAGUAUGUGCUAAAUAAAUAUUAGUUGGGGGACUAAAUAAAUAGUAGUUCAGCCACUCCUCAAUUACAAAGCCUUUUGUCUGCAGGAUGAGACCAAUAUGAGCUUUUCUGGAACCAUGGGAGACGGGUUGAGGAUGGGGCAGACUAAGGAAUUUGCAAUCCAUGAGGCAUUGGGGCAGGUCAAAGCAUCAGGAAAUUGUAUUCCUUGACACUCUCUUACCCCUUCCUACUCACUCCUUUAUCCUAUAUCAUCCUAUGUUACAAGCCCCUUGAGGGUAGGCAUAGAACCUUUAAUUUUUGUAUCACUAACACCUAGCUCAGGGCCUGGUAUACAGCAGGUGCUCAACAAAGCUGCAUUGAAUGAAUGGACGUAUGCAACGUGGAUUUAAUGCAGAUCUUACUGUCCGAGCUCAGGUUCAUUCAGGAGGAAUUCAGGAAGGGAAGCAAAGGUUUGAGAUGGUUAUUUAUCAGCAGAACAUGCUGCAUGGGAGUUUUUCAUAAAAUGUAUGAUAGAACCUGAAUGGUUUUUUUUAAGCUAACAUUUAUUGAGAACAUACUUUUUGCCAGGCUCUGUGAGAAAUGCUUUCUAUGCAUUACCUUGUAUAAAACCAAGAAUUUAAUUUGUGGAUGCUGCUUAAUUUGUAGAUGAGGAAACUGAGACUUGGAGACAAGUAAUCAGCCUAAGGUCAGAGAGGAACCAGAAAAGCUAGUAUUCAAACUUGGGUCUGACUUCCAAAUUCACGAGCUUAGCCAGUUAGGACUUCUUCAUUAACUCUGGGUCCAUAAGAGAGUCAGUAGAUACCUUUUGCCUUCGUGCCCUCACCUGUUAGAUGGAAGAGUCCAUCCCUGCUCACAGCUCAAGGUUGAGAGAGCAGAUGUAUGCGUGUGGAAGGCAUCAGGAAUGAUCCAGCCAGAAGGGGCACCAUGAUUCAUUCAUUGAGCUCGGGCUCCGCAAAACCCUGAGAGGGCCUGUUAUCACACGACCUCCCAUUUCUCAAGCCUCUGAUGAUAGCAAGACAGCAGCCUGCAUACAAGGUGGCCUUGAACUGCUACCUGCUUUCCAAUUCCCCCUGGAAGGGCCCCUUAUACCUUAGCAGCUAAGUCGGGAAGACGUAUUUUACUCUGGUUUCCACUAAUUUGUUCUGCUCUGUGAACUUCAGUGUCUGCUUGUCCAAUUUCACGAAAAUUGGAUUAAUGAGUGUUAAUUGGUGCUGACUCAGCUAGUUUAAAGGGGAUCGCUUCAAAUGGAAGAGGAGUGUACUGGUGUGAUGGGUGGGUACGGAGGCUUCUGGGAAUCGGACUUCUGCAUGGACGCCGAUAUCACAGGUUGCUUGUGGCACCUUCUUCCAAGCUACUCUUGUGUAAGACGAUAUUACCUCUAUGGAUCUUUGAAAGGAGGAGGAACACUUCUCCCAUUGGAACAAGGAGAAGAUUUGCUUCAGAUGCUGGUAAGCUUGAGGAUUUGGCCAGGAUGUUCAUUUGUUCAUUCAUUCAUUCAUUCAUUCAUAGAAUCUUUUUCAAGCACCUGCUCUAUCAGGCUCUAUUUUGGGCUCCGGAGAACCAGUGAUGAAUGAAACAAAGUUUCUGUCUUCAUGAAGCUAACAGUUUAGCUGAGGUGGGUAAAUAACAAUCCAAUAAAUAUAUGAUAUAAUGUCAAGCAGCAUUUCCAUCCAAUGCAUCUAUAUUCUCUAUUAAGGGUGAGAAAAGGUCAUCUUUUUUAAAAACAGCUUUACUGAAAUAUAAUUCACAUACCAUAGAAUUCACCCAUUUAAAGCAUAUAGUUCAAUGCUUUUUAGUAUGUUCAUAGAUAUGUAUAGUCAUUACCACAGUCGAUUUUAGAACAUUUUUAUCACAUGAAAAAGAAACUCUAUACUCUUUAGCAGUCACCAUCUUAUACCCCAACCCCCAACUCCAGCCACAGGCAACCACUAAUCUGCUUUCUGACUCUAUAGAUUCGCCUGUCCUGGACAGAGAAAGGGUCAUCUUUUGGGAAUGAGGGUGCAUGGAAAGAGCCAUUAUUGUCCUCACCUCCCAAAUGAGGCCUCUUGGACUCAGUUUCCCUUGGAGUUCCCUCCAGGAUCCAAAUUUUCAUUGCUUUACAAGCUUGGUUUCUGGUGGUGGCAGGGGCUGCUGGCCAGGGUCCUGACAUAGAGUCACUCUUAGGAUCUUACCUUCCACCUCUCAGCCCUCCCUGAGGUCCCAUGCUCCCAGCCAGCCAGCCAAUACCGAGCAUAAAUAAGUUUGUGUGCACACAGAAGAGACUCCAGUCUCCUGUUCAGUCACGUCUCCAAGCAGUAAUAGGCAUGUCAUGUUCACAGAGGCCCUGUCUUAGUCCAAGUUGUCAUAAUUUCUCCCCUGGAUUGCUGCAGUGGUCUGCUCUCUGGUCCCCUCAUCUCGCAUCUUGCCUCCUUUCCAACCUGUUCUUCCCAAGAUACCAGGAUAAACGUUAUAAAGCAUGAAUCUAAAACACAUCCUUCUUGUGCUGAGGAAAAUCCCGCAUGGUCCUCAGGAAAGUUGAGUUUCCUCUUCACGGCCCACGAGGCCCUUCAUAGCCUGCCCCGGACAGCCUCUCCAGGUCAUCAUUCACCAUUCCCCCUUAACUGUCUGAAUCACUUGUAGUUCCUGCAAAGUACCACACACUCCCUGGGAGGCCUUUGCACGUGCUGUGGCCCCUCUGGAACCCUCUCGCCUGCCUGUAUUGCCUGGCUAACUCCCACUCAUCUUUCAGGUCUUAGCUUAGAGAUUACUUCCUUUUGAGGCCUUCCCUAUUUCUUCAUGAUGUUCCUGUAUUAGUUUUCUAUUGCUGCUUAACAAAUCACCCCAAAACUUAGCACUUUAUAGCAACAAACACUUAUGAUCUCACAUUUUCUGUGGGUCAGGAAUUCAGGAGUCGGUGGUUCUGGAUCAGGGUCUCUCCUGAGUUGUAGUCAUGAUGUUGGCUGGGGCUGCAGUCAUCUGAAAGCUUGACUGGGGCAGGAGGACCUUCUUUCAAGAUGGCUCCUUCACAUGGCUGUCGGGAGGAGGCCUCACUUCUUCCCCCUGUGGGCUGCUUCAUAGACUGUUGAAUGUCCUUACAACUUGGCAGCCGGCUUCCCCCAGAGUGAGGGAUCCGAGAGAUCAGAGAGGAGCCUCCAAUGCCUUUUAUGUCUGCAACAGACUGAAUGUCUGUGUACCCCCAAAUUCAUAUGGUGAAAUCCUAAUGUGAUUGCAUGAGGAAGAUGGGCCUUUAGGAGGUGAUUAGGUCAUGAGGGUGGAGCCCUCACGAGUGGGAUUACUGCCUUUAUAAAAGGGGCCCCAGAGAGCUCUCUGUCUCUCUUUCUGCCAUGGGAAGACAGAGUGAGAAGACGGCGGUCUGCAACCUGGAAGAGAGACAUUACCAAAACCUGAGCUGCUGGCACCCUGAUCUUGGACUUCCAGCCUCUAGAACUGUG